UGAUCAGGUAGAUAGGCUGGAAGUAGCAGCGCCGUGAGGCGUGGAGCGGACCAGUACUAAUCGGUCGAGGACUUAACCAAG
rnacentral:rRNA from 1 species